CUGAACCAGCCAAGUCGCGUGAGGGAAUAAGGCCCUACGGGUCGUAAACCUCUUUUGCCAGGGAGCAAUGCCGUCCACGUGUGGACGGAAGGAGAGUACCUGGAGAAAAAGCAUCGGCUAACUCCGUGCCAGCAGCCGCGGUAAUACGGAGGAUGCGAGCGUUAUCCGGAUUUAUUGGGUUUAAAGGGUGCGUAGGCGGCCUGCCAAGUCAGCGGUAAAAUUGCGGGGCUCAACCCCGUACAGCCGUUGAAACUGCCGGGCUCGAGUGGGCGAGAAGUAUGCGGAAUGCGUGGUGUAGCGGUGAAAUGCAUAGAUAUCACGCAGAACCCCGAUUGCGAAGGCAGCAUACCGGCGCCCGACUGACGCUGAGGCACGAAAGUGCGGGGAUCAAACAGGAUUAGAUACCCUGGUAGUCCGCACAGUAAACGAUGAAUGCUAGCUGUCCGGGGGGAUUGACCCCUGG
rnacentral:rRNA from 1 species